GUGUGAGGGCAAUCUGGCUGCUACAUCUGUCACCUCAUGGAUCGCCAGGUUGAUUGGUCUGAUCUAGCAGCUAGGCAGGUGUCUCCUUUCUCCCUCACGGCUACAUGCUCAGUCAAAGAGAACGACAUUCCCCGAAUAGAGGAGGACAGGUCUUUGGUCAAGGGUAUAUGAGUAGCUACGCUCCCCUGCUAGAACCUCCAAACAAACUAUCUUGAUGGUUUUAAUAAGAAGUAAAUAAAAGAUUUCAUGUUAUAGAAUCCCUCUCAUUAGAUCAAUUUUG
rnacentral:snRNA from 1 species